rnacentral:sRNA from 1 species
CAAGAGGCGCGCGCCUCCGGGGGCGAGCCUUCCAUCGGCGUCGAACUGAAAAGGCGGGUUUCGGAUGAAGCCCGCCUUCCCUCG